rnacentral:rRNA from 1 species
AGUGAACGCUGGCGGUAGGCCUAACACAUGCAAGUCGAACGGCAGCACAGUAAGAGCUUGCUCUUACGGGUGGCGAGUGGCGGACGGGUGAGGAAUACAUCGGAAUCUACUUUUUCGUGGGGGAUAACGUAGGGAAACUUACGCUAAUACCGCAUACGACCUACGGGUGAAAGCAGGGGAUCUUCGGACCUUGCGCGAUUGAAUGAGCCGAUGUCGGAUUAGCUAGUUGGCGGGGUAAAGGCACACCAAGGCGACGAACCGUAGCCGGUCUGAGAGGAUGAUCGGCCACACUGGAACUGAGACACGGUCCAGGCUCCUACGGGAGGCAGCAGUGGGGAAUCUUGGACAAUGGGCGAAAGCUUGACACAGCCACGCCGCGUGGGUGAAGAAGGCCUUCGGGUCGUAAAACCCUGUUAUUGGGAAAGAAAAAAAGUGGAUGAAACCCCGGCCGUCUUGACGGUACCCAAACAAAAAGCCCCGGCUAACUACGUG